rnacentral:rRNA from 1 species
GACGGAGGGUGCAAGCGUUGCUCGGAAUCACUGGGCGUAAAGGGUGCGUAGGCGGCUUGGUAGGUCUGGUGUGAAAGCCCCGGGCUCAGCCCGGGAAGGGCACUAGAAACUGCCAAGCUAGAGUGCCGGAGGGGAGAGUGGAAUUCCUGGUGUAGCGGUGAAAUGCGUAGAGAUCAGGAGGAAUACCGGUGGCGAAAGCGACUCGCUGGACGGCAACUGACGCUGAGGCACGAAAGCGUGGGGAGCAAACAGG